ACAGGCUUGGCUAACGUCACCUCUAUGGGGGACCCAUCCAGCACCUUCGCAUCGCAGGAAGAGUGCGGGAGAAGCACAAGUGUGGAAGGAGGCACUGGCUGGGUGAAGGUUCAACGUGUAGAGAGCAUCCAGAGCUGACACCAACCAGCAGAGGCUAAUUAACUGAAUUAGCAGAGUUGUGAAGCCCUUGAAAAGGCUUCACUUCCCUGCAAAGCAGCACCUAAGUCAGCCCGAUAAUAGGUACUCCUAUGGAGAACAGCAGUAGCACUAAAAAUAGGAAUGGGGUUAACACCUCUUUGGGAAAAGCUCUUGCAUUACAGCACUGUGAAUUACAUUGCAGCGCAAGAAGUACUAAAUACAGCAACCUCCUUGCAAAUCUGCUUCUGAAUUUGGAGCAGAUGUUCUGGGUUGACCUUGUUUGUCCCUGUUUACUAUUCACAUGCUUCCCUUCCAGUGUUUUUGUUGGCAGACGUGAAACACGUAUGUGAGUGCAAGCCAAGGGAACCCAUAACCCCUCAUUUUCUAGUCCUCAUUUCAGUAUUGCUUCAACUUUUUUCAGAGAGAUGAACUACAGUCUGAUCUGGGCAAACAUUUAUUAUGAAUGCAAAGGGAAAUAAGCCAAAAAGAAGAGUUUGUGAACAUCAGGGUUGAAAAAAAACAAAUUCAGGAGCAUAAAAGCAGCCUGAGAACUGAAAAAAGGACUAGCACCCUCAGGGUGUCUUUGUAGCUAAUAAGCCUGGCAUGUUUGUUUCAGCUGCAUAUAAUAUACUGCAUGUAAGUCACAAAAUAAACACUCAGAGCAGCUUUACCUUCCCAUUCAAGGCUUUCAUAGCUUCAACCGCAUCUUCUCUUUUAUUAAAGUGCACAAAGGCAUAGUCUCUAAUUUUCUUUACUCUUUCUACUGCACCUGUGGAAAACAUUAGAAUAUUAGUUGGAAAUAGGUAUUAGCUGGAAAAUAUGUAUCAGAAUGAGCAAUUGUGUUGGGUUGUGAGCCCUUCAAGAGCAAAAACUGGCCAAAGGUAAGAGAGAAAGUCAAUGGUGUCUUCUUACCUCUUAGGAUGCAUAUACCAUGAGAAACUAAAGACAAUGUCUGUGUUAUUUCAAGCAAAACUAGAAAUAUUUGAAGGCAAGCACCCAUAUGGUUCCCAUUAAACUGGAGUGGUUUGCUCCUGUCCAAAAUGCUCUGUCUGAGGUUGUCUUUGGUUUUGUGUUUCACUUCUGUGACAGAUCUCCAGGAGCUGGAUGGCUGAGCAGGACACUUGGUGUUCUCACACUCAGUGUUCUUCUCUUCUGUGUCUGUCCUCUACAGCCUUCCCUUUCCCUUGUCAGAUGCUCUGCUGCUGGGAACUUUGUAGCACCCAAAUAUUCUGGCUCUGAGAUAAUCACACUGGCACCUGCUCCCUGCAGGCCCAAGCUUUAGGUAUCUACCUUUUCUCCUCUAGUUGUUCGUCUUUGUCAGUCCUGUCAGUUGUCAACCAGCCUAGCCAGCGAGGCUAUAACACCCCUAAAAGUAUCCUUUGGAAAUGUGGCUAAUGGAUGCAGGAUGACUUUUCUGUUGGUUUCUUUCCUUUUAAAGCUGAACAGGUGUACAGGGAAAUAUCCAAUUGCCACAAAACAAAAACAAAAACAACAACAACAACAACAAAACACACAAACAAACAAACAAAAAACAAACAAAACAAACAACAACAA